UACGGAGGGUGCGAGCGUUGUCCGGAAUUACUGGGCGUAAAGCGUGCGUAGGUGGUUUGUUAAGUCUGUUGUGAAAGCCCCGGGCUCAACCUGGGAAUGGCAAUGGAUACUGGCAGGCUAGAGUGCGGUAGAGGGUAGUGGAAUUCCCGGUGUAGCGGUGAAAUGCGUAGAGAUCGGGAGGAAGACCGGUGGCGAAGGCGGUCUGCUGGGCAGUUUCUGACACUGAGGCGCGACAGCGUGGGGAGCAAACAGG
rnacentral:rRNA from 1 species